GGAUUAUGACUCCCGUUAGCUGUUAUUCGAGGUGUAUCUCUGUUCGAAACCUUCUCCACGUACAGGCAGUAUGAUCGGUAGCACAGCUGCAUGAGAAUCCGGYACUGAACCUGACUCGGUAGUUUUAAGGGGUAAUCAGGGUCGGAAUUGUAAAUUUGAGAACCGGGCGAGGGGCCCCGGCAAGAGACCUCAGUCGAAAGGUGGAGCAACAAGAUUGAACCUGUGUCACGCGUAACGAGUUGCUUGAGGUGUGCCCUAGAGGGGCUCCCGGACUAAACGUUAAGUCGCCGCCUGGGAUUCGCCGCCAGGUUAAAAUCUAAUGAAUUGACGGGGCCCGCCAAAGCGUGGAGCCUUUGGUUUAUUCGAUGCAACGGAAGAACCUUACUACUCUUGGCAUCCCGAGAACUUUCCAGAGAUGGAUUGGGGCCUCCGGGACUUUGAGACCAGUGCUGCCAUGGGUGUCGUCAGCUCGUGUUGUGGAAAUGUUGGGUUAAAGUCCCGCAAACGAAGCGCAACCCUUAUCCUUUGUUGCCAGCGGUUCGGCCGGGAACUCAAAGGAGGACUGCCAGUGAUAAACUGGAGGAAGGUGGGGAUGACGUCAAGUCAUCAUGGCCCUUACGAGUAGGGCUACACACGUGCUACAAUGGCGCAUACAAAGAGAAGCGACCUCGCGAGAGCAAGCGGACCUCAUAAAGUGCGUCGUAGUCCGGAUUGGAGUCUGCAACUCGACUCCAUGAAGUCGGAAUCGCUAGUAAUCGUAGAUCAGAAUGCUACGGUGAAUACGUUCCCGGGCCUUGUACACACCGCCCGUCACACCAUGGGAGUGGGUUGCAAAAGAAGUAGGUAGCUAACUCGGAGGGCGCUUGUGACGUGUAUUCGA
rnacentral:rRNA from 1 species